UUAUUCGAAAAGACUUCUACAACGAUCUCGAGAUAUACAAAACCCGUUGCGCGCAUUUUCGUUAUAGGUUAAAAUAAAGAAAUUAUCGAAACGCCGCUUAUUUUGUUAUUCAUCAUCAAUCGAAACCUUUGCAAACAUUUUUCUAGAAUAUUGUCUAGAAAAUUAAUAACCACGUUCUAUUAACACAAUCAAUUAAACUUCUGUUGCAGCAACUUACCAAGAACCGCUCGUUCCAAACGCUUAAUAUAUUCGCUGAGACUACUUCGACACAUAAUUAACACGAUACAAAUAAUACUUUUAUCACUUAAUCGAGGAACACAAAACACCCUUUUCGAUAGCAUGCCGCCAUAUUGGUUCACCGGAUGCGCGGUAAAAAUUUCGCGGAGGAGAGAUCGCGCCGAAGUUGUCGAUCUAUCGAUACUACGUCACGCGGUCGAAAAAUCAAAGAUGGCUGUGCCGGCACCGGAGGAGGAACUGCGCGUCGAUUCAGCAACAAAAAUGUGUUAAAUUGUGUUGAUUAAAUAAUGUCAAAGUUGCGUGAGUAAACGUAUUCCGAUUUAGACGUCCCAGUGUUAUGUUUGUAUUAAGUGCAACGAUGAAGACAACUAUCUGCGUGGACACGAGCUGUCAGAGGAAACGAGCUUGCAUCGAGCACCUGCACGCUGCUGUAAGUGGGCUUGAAACGUUCGAGAAACCAGCGCAUGCCUGACUAUAAUAUUUGUUGGACUAGGAGUUCUAGGAGUUAGUAAUGCUGGGCAGCUGUUAGGAUUUAAUAAUUUAGUAUUUAAUAUUAGCAUUUAGUAUUUAAUAUUAGUAUAUAAUAUAUAAUAUAAUAUAAUAUUAGUAUAUCGCGUUCAUAGAAUAACUUCAACCGUUCGGUGAGCGCUUGCUUACACAUCGAUGUGUUACGAACAACACAACUGCGUCUUGCAAUUAGAAUAUAGAUACGUAGGCACUAACACUAAUCAGAAACUACGUCGUUGUACUCUCAUCGAUAAUAUUGGGAACGAUCAUCGUCGAUCUCACCAACGAUAUUUAUAUUUAUUGAAAGACAGAGAUUUGUAAACUAAUAAAACUGUUCCGCGGAGAACUUAGUCUUAUAUCAUAGUAUUAAAUACUGCAGACCAGGAAAACUACAGUAGGAGUUAGACACCUUGCGGCAGGUAGGUGGCGCAUUAGGCUGUAAGUAUACAUAAGGGCGUUUCUUCCGGCGUUUUGUAGACGCGUUUUCUUCGUCAAUUGUCACGCAGUAUUUGUCACGUAGUUAUUACAUCUCGAACUAUUCAAUUUAUCCAAUUUUGAGGAAGUUAUUGCACUCUAGAGGGUCGAAUUUCACUCACUGUAUAUAUAAAAAAAAAUGCGAUCGAGAAGUAAGAUUUCCUAUCGCGUGAAAUCAAUCGAACAGCGCUGAAGGGUCAUAUGUCGCGCACUCUUAUCGAUAAUAUAGAAACGAUCAUCGUCGAUCUCACCAACGAUCAUUAUAUUUCUUCAAAGACAAAGAUUUGUAAAGUAAUAAAACUGUUCUGAAGAA